rnacentral:rRNA from 1 species
UAGCUAGUUGGUGAGGUAAAGGCUUACCAGGGCGACGAUCUGUAGCGGGUCUGAGAGGAUGAUCCGCCACACUGGAACUGAGACACGGUCCAGACUCCUACGGGAGGCAGCAGUGGGGAAUUUUGGACAAUGGGGGCAACCCUGAUCCAGCCAUGCCGCGUGAGUGAAGAAGGCCUUCGGGUUGUAAAGCUCUUUCGGCCGGGAAGAAAUCGCAUGGGCCAAUACCCUGUGUGGAUGACGGUACCGGAAUAAGAAGCACCGGCUAACUACGUGCCAGCAGCCGCGGUAAUACGUAGGGUGCGAGCGUUAAUCGGAAUUACUGGGCGUAAAGCGUGCGCAGGCGGUUUUGUAAGACAGGCGUGAAAUCCCCGGGCUUAACCUGGGAACUGCGUUUGUGACUGCAAGGCUAGAGUACGGCAGAGGGGGGUGGAAUUCCACGUGUAGCAGUGAAAUGCGUAGAGAUGUGGAGGAACACCAAUGGCGAAGGCAGCCCCCUGGGUCGAUACUGACGCUCAUGCACGAAAGCGUGGGUAGCAAACAGGAUUAGAUACCCUGGUAGUCCACGCCCUAAACUAUGUCAACUAGGUGUUGGGUGGGUAAAACCAUUUAGUACCGUAGCUAACGCGUGAAGUUGACCGCCUGGGGAGUACGGCCGCAAGGUUAAAACUCAAAGGAAUUGACGGGGACCCGCACAAGCGGUGGAUGAUGUGGAUUAAUUCGAUGCAACGCGAAAAACCUUACCUACCCUUGACAUGCCAGGAACUUGCCAGAGAUGGCUUGGUGCCCGAAAGGGAGCCUGGACACAGGUGCUGCAUGGCUGUCGUCAGCUCGUGUCGUGAGAUGUUGGGUUAAGUCCCGCAACGAGCGCAACCCUUGUCGUUAAUUGCCAUCAUUUAGUUGGGCACUUUAACGAGACUGCCGGUGACAAACCGGAGGAAGGUGGGGAUGACGUCAAGUCCUCAUGGCCCUUAUGGGUAGGGCUUCACACGUCAUACAAUGGUCGGUACAAAGGGUUGCCAAGCCGCGAGGCGGAGCCAAUCCCAGAAAGCCGAUCGUAGUCCGGAUUGCAGGCUGCAACUCGCCUGCAUGAAGUCGGAAUCGCUAGUAAUCGUGGAUCAGCAUGUCACGGUGAAUACGUUCCCGGGUCUUGUACACACCGCCCGUCACACCCUGGGAGCGGGUUCCGCCAGAAGUAGGUAGCCUAACCGCAAGGGGGGCGCUUACCACGGCGGGGUUCGUGACUGGGGUGAAGUCGGAACAAGGUAGCCGUAGGGGAACCUGCGGCUG